UUCCCUCUCCCUCCAUCCCUGUCUCUUAAUUCCCUCUCUCUCCCCGCCCCUGCCUGACCGGGCGGAGCGCGCCCUCUCCGUCCCUCCCCUUCCCCGCUCGGUCCCUCCCUCUGCUACCCGGAGAGGCCGCUCUGCUGCCGCCGCCGGGAGCGCCCCACGGAGCCGUCUCACGGAGUUGUAGCUGCUCGUCUCCCGGCCCGGCCCUCCCGCCGCCCUGGGACUGGGGGACCUGCCCCAGCCGACCCGGCAGGAGGCGGAGGGGCUCGGCGGCCCCUGAGGUAGAAGUGUCUUGACAACCAAGCAAGAAGGUGGAUUAUUUUUAAAACAAUGCUUAGGCAUCUGUAGAGAUGAUUUGUGGUUCAGUCCAGCUGGAGCUGACUGAAUGAAGCUAUGGGCUGUGCGUCAGCCAAGCAUGUUUCUACUGUUCAAAAUGAAGAGGAAGCUCAGAAGGGGAAGAACUACCAGAAUGGAGAUGUAUUUGGUGAUGAGUAUAGGAUCAAACCAGUGGAAGAGGUCAAAUACAUGAAAAAUGGGGGAGAAGAUGAUCAGAAAGUAGCUGCCAGGAACCAGGAAAAUUUGGAAAAAAGUGCCAGUUCAAAUGUAAGACUUAAAUCUAACAAAGAGGUUCCAGGAUUAGUACAUCAACCCAGAGCAAACAUGCACAUCUCUGAAAGCCAACAGGAAUUCUUCAGAAUGCUAGAUGAGAAAAUUGAAAAGGGAUUCAGCUCUCUUUAGGCCUUCACAUGGCAACAACCCCCCACCUGUAGCCUUUGCUCUCAUGCAGAAUUUUGGGAAAUAGGUAUUUGCUUGCAUCUCUAGAACAGAAGGAACUCUUCAGCAUGAACAAGAUGGAACUGUGCUUUGUACAGGAAAUAUGCCAUUGAAGCUGAAGAAAUAAAUUGCCUGGGGUUGCACUGAGAACAUGGACAAGAAGCUGCAAGUCAGGAUUUUUAUAUGGGGAAACUGAGGUACUAGGAGGUGAAGUGACUUAUCUAAGGUCACCUAGCAGUCCAGUGGCGGAGUCGACAAUAGAAUACAGGUCUCCUGAGUCCCAAUCCAGUGCUAAAGCUUUUAAACAGAAUCUUAUGAGAAACCCUGGUAAGGCCCGUAACUGCUUUUUUCAAAUGAAUGGCAUGAGGUUAUUUCUGUAUGUGUUUGACAUCACCAGAUCUUUGCAGUGCUGACUGCAACAAUUCAAAACAUGUAGAUUGCAUGGUGAGGUCACAGCAGGCAAAGCCAACAACCCCAGGUGUACAUUUUUGUCUUAACACUUGAAUGAAGUCAAUCAAGCAUCUCAUGCUUAACUUUGAAUAUGCAUAGUGUUGCUUUUUCAUUAAGACUUACUAAUGUUCUUUUGUAGUAACUGUUCUAUCUCAAGGGAAGCCUGAGUCUUGCGUGUGAUGUUUUUGUGUUAUUCUGUGAUACCGACAGUUGUAGGAUGCUGAAAAUGUCAAUAGCCCAAGCUUUAAUGGGGCUUGGAGGAAAAUUCUGUUCUAGCCCAGAGUCACAGAAACAAAUUCUGCUCUUUCACAUUCAAGUAAAUUUCAAUCACAUUGAUUCCAGAGAAGUUACGUGCGCUUUUACUUCAUAUACCUGAGAACAGAAUUUGACCCAAGCUCUGUCUCAAGUCAUGAAAAUCUACUUAGUUUAAAAAAUAUACUCUAGGUCAGCACUUUUCUUUCUUCUCGGAGGACAGGAGAGUGGUGAUCAUUCAACUCAUUCAAACACUGGGCACAUUGACUAGGUUUCUCUAGAAACCUGGAAGCAUAAUCCAGUUGCUGGCACAGGUUGUAGCGAUUGAGUCUGUCAAAGGAUUUUAAAAUCCUGCAAAAACAGAUGUCAAAUGCCAUAGCUCAGCACCCUUGAUUACUGUUGUUGUUGUUUCCAUUGUGUAGCCUGCUGCCAGUUUCCUUGGUUCUGUGCUGCAGGUCUCAUAUUUACUCCAGCCUCCUCCUAUGCGGGAGCUGAAAGCUCAUCAAGCUCAUUCCCAGCCUUUGUUUCUGUGCGGUAACACUCUUCCAGCUGCUCUGAACUGUAGUGCUCUUGAAGGGAGAUUGCACAUGACUCUUUAGGUAGCAUCUCGCUUUGACUGAUGGAACACAGUGUUACAGAAGUGUUCCUAUAACUUCAAUGCCAUUGUAUAGAGCUAAUAAACUGGAUAGGGUAGUGCCUAACUAGUAUGGCAGUGCCUGGAUGCUACAAUAAUGGGUGAUAUGUUAAAAAUAGAUAUACAAAUUCUAGCAUCAAGAGUCUGAAGGCAGCAGAGGUAAGCAGAUGAGGUAACACAAACCUAGGAAAGUACUCCCGGUAGUAAAGGGACCUAGGCCCAUAGCCAGAGACAUCCCACAUAGCCCUCCUCCCCAAACAGACACCAUCAUUUCUGUUGAUAUCCAGCUGCUUUCAAAACUCAAAGGAGUGGACCAAAGAUUCCUGCUUUGGCUGCUGGACUCCAUGGCUGGCUUCUCUUUGCAGCUGUCUCCCAAACCCACUUGUUGGAGGUGAGAGAUACCACCCUGGGUCCUAGUGUUCCCAGAGUCAGAGUGGGGUGGGGAGGAAGAGUGGCCCUGGCUGGGCCCCUUUUUCCCCAGGCCCCUCCAGUCCCUGCUUCAGCUGCUUCUGGUCCUACUGGCUGGCUCCUCCUUGCAGCUGGCUGCCAAGCCAGUAUGGCAUGGGGGACAUGGGAGAAGAAGCCACCUGGGUCCUAGUGCCCACCAGAAAGUGAGGGCGGGUCUCUUCCCCAGAACAGUUCAGAGUAUUCCAUUUGUGUCAUGCAAGAAAUACCAGGAAGGGACCCAGCAUACCUGGCUUCUCUGUGUGUUAUAAUCACACACAAAACUGAGGUACUGUUAAAUAAAUAUGUCCUACUCUGCUUGCAUUUGCUACUUGUUGCCAUAAAAAUGUGAACGCCUUAUGGAAUAUGUAUUAUUAACUCUGUUGUUUCUGAGGAAGAAAUAAUUUAUACAGGGAGGGUGGGUGGAUAGACACUUUGCAUAGCUACAGAGGUGCAACUGUGCUGGGGCCCAACCAGACGGAGUGGCGCUCCAGCCCUUCAUCUACUACUCACUCAAAUUUGGCCUUGCUGAUCCUCUGUCAGGUGGAGGAGUAGCUGGGCCAAAUUUGAGUGGCAUUGUGACCAGAUGUGCGGGGGUUGCAGUGCCACUCAGGUUUGGCCUGGCUGCUCCCCUGUCAUGAGAGAGGGGGCAGCCGGGCCAAACCAGAGUGGCGCUGUGACCCUAUGUGCCAGGCGUGCAGUGCUAUUCAUCACUCAAAUUUGCCCACGCCAUGUGAGUGCGGGUUUGCCAGUUGGAGCACUGGGAUCAAGAGGAGCCACUCUAACCCAGGAUGGGAAUGGUGAGUAGCCAGGAGGCCCCAGGGAUGAUAGGUGAGAGUCUGGGGGGUGAGUUGUUAGCGGGCUAUGGGGUGAGUUGGGGAGUGUCGGAAG